rnacentral:rRNA from 1 species
AGUGAACGCUGGCGGUAGGCCUAACACAUGCAAGUCGAACGGCAGCACAGUAAGAGCUUGCUCUUACGGGUGGCGAGUGGCGGACGGGUGAGGAAUACAUCGGAAUCUACUUUUUCGUGGGGGAUAACGUAGGGAAACUUACGCUAAUACCGCAUACGACCUACGGGUGAAAGCAGGGGAUCUUCGGACCUUGCGCGAUUGAAUGAGCCGAUGUCGGAUUAGCUAGUUGGCGGGGUAAAGGCCCACCAAGGCGACGAUCCGUAGCUGGUCUGAGAGGAGGAUCAGCCACACUGGAACUGAGACACGGUCCAGACUCCUACGGGAGGCAGCAGUGGGGAAUAUUGGACAAAGGGCGCAAGCCUGAUCCAGCCAUACCGCGUGGGUGAAGAAGGCCUUCGGGUUGUAAAGCCCUUUUGUUGGGAAAGAAAAGCAGCAGGUUAAUACCCCGCUGUUCUGACGGUACCCAAAGAAUAAGCACCGGCUAACUUCGUG